GUGCUUUUUGACAGCACAUGUACUAAAAGUGGAGCAGUACAAAGAAAAUUAGUAUGGUCCCCACACAGGGAUGACACACAAAUUCACAAAGAGUUAAAAAAAAAU